rnacentral:rRNA from 1 species
UACGAAGGGGGCUAGCGUUGCUCGGAAUCACUGGGCGUAAAGCGCACGUAGGCGGCUUUCUAAGUCAGGGGUGAAAUCCUGGAGCUCAACUCCAGAACUGCCUUUGAUACUGGAGAGCUUGAGUCCGGAAGAGGUGAGUGGAACUCCGAGUGUAGAGGUGAAAUUCGUAGAUAUUCGGAAGAACACCAGUGGCGAAGGCAGCCCCCUGGGCCAACACUGACGCUCAGGCACGAAAGCGUGGGGAGCAAACAGG